GACCCAACCCUCGCCCCUGGUGGUGGGGGAGUAGCCGGGCUAACGCCCGGGUAAUACCGCAUACGGUCCUUUGGGGGAGUCCCUGGGGGAAGAAAGCUCUGGCGCACGGGGAGGGGGUCGCGGCCUAUCAGCUAGUUGGUGCGGUAACGGCGCACCAAGGCGACGACGGGUAGCUGGUCUGAGAGGAUGGCCAGCCACAUUGGGACUGAGAGACGGCCCAG
rnacentral:rRNA from 1 species